GUGCAAAGUACAUGACUCCCACUCACCUGCCAAUCUGGCACGGCCUCGAUACGCCUCUAGAAUUCUACAGCAGGCAGUGGGGAACUUCUUCCUCUCGUUCCCUAGCUUCUUGCCCAACUGUGACAUGCAUUUACCAUACAUUUAGUCUUGUAUCAAGGUCAUAAUCUACGUGCCAAUUAUAAUAUAGGGAACUUUAAUUGAUUCAACUCUCCCGUUCCCUAAAUCUUUUCUUUUCUUUCUCUUUUUCUUUUUCUAUUAAUUAACUCAUCAUUUAUGUGUAUUAGGGACUCCUUUGCACGAGUACAAGGUCUCCCCUAGCCUAAUCUAGGCUUAAUACCCUAUUAUGGCAUAAAAUCCCUUAUUUUCCACCCGGAUGAACAGUAACCCGAACUGACAGUGGGUUACUUCAUCCCAGUUUUGAUCCACUUUCAGGACUCCAAAUUUGAUGAAAUUUUUACCUAACAUUCUACACUCAUAGAGAAUUCCAAAGAGAUAAUAUGCAUCAUCAUCGGAGGCCGUUUGACCCCCUAAAUAAUUCACCAAAGUUGGGACUUCGACACAGUUUUUCCGUAGUGCCGGAAAAAUUUGUUAAAAUCCAAUUCUUCCUCUUUUAACCACCUCUACAACCCUUAUCCGACCCCUCUAGACUAUAUCCACCCUUUGUAUAGCCUAAUGUCAUCAAAAGACUAGAUAGGGAUGGAUAUUUACCUUUUUCUUUUUGGAAAUCGAGGUCCUUGCGUAGAGGGGAAGGAGAUCUACGUUUUU
rnacentral:lncRNA from 1 species